UGCUUACAACUGUCCUGGUGUGUCAGAUGUGGUCCUCCUGAAUAUUAAAAAGGGGGGGGCUUGGUCUUGAGGUCUUCCCUCGCUGUGACUCAUGUGUACCCUGUGUGUAAACCACCCUCUGUGUGUAAACCAGUGAAACCAGCAGCAGCAGUAGGAGGUGGAGCUGUUUACUUUACCAGAGCAGCCUCGGAGCAGGUUAACACACUGCUCUGAACAAACUCAACUGAAGAUGUCAUGAAAAGGCGAUGCUUCUGACCACAUUCUCUGGACUUUAAUCAACAUACAGACGGAUACAACGGCACCCGACAAACGGGGGGGAUAGCAGCCAGCCAUGGAUACCACCACCUCCCUGAAGAUGACCUCUCUGGCCGUUCAGAGUCUGUUCGGCUUCGUGGAGGAGGAGAACCUGGCCGGCUUAAAAGCUCAUCUGGACAAGUUCAGAGAUGUGGACAGCAGGAGUGAUAACGGACAGACUCCCCUGAUGGUGGCGUCAGAGCAGGGCAGUCUGGAGAUAGUACAAGAGCUCAUUAGGAGAGGAGCCAACGUUAACUUGGAUGAUGUUGACUGCUGGACGGCUUUGAUUUCAGCGGCUAAGGAGGGCCACAUCGAGGUGGUGAGGGAACUGCUGGAGAACAAUGCUAACCUGGAACAUCGAGACUUGGGAGGUUGGACUGCACUCAUGUGGGCAGCAUAUAAAGGUCGUACAGAUGUGGCACAGCUGCUCUUGGAUAAAGGAGCCAAUCCCAACAUCACUGGUCAGUACAGCGUCUACCCCAUUAUCUGGGCGGCGGGUCGAGGCCACGCUGAGAUUGUCCAUCUCCUGCUGCAGCACGGAGCCAAGGUCAACUGUUCAGACAAGUAUGGUACCACUCCUUUAAUCUGGGCCGCCAGGAAGGGCCACUUUGAGAGUGUGAUGCACCUUCUGGCUAAUGGAGCCGAUGUGGACCAGGAAGGAGCGAACUCCAUGACGGCUCUGAUUGUGGGGGUGAAAGGUGGAUACACAGAGGUUGUGAAGGAGCUGCUGAAAAGGAACCCAAACGUCAACAUGACGGACAAGGACGGCAACACCGCUCUCGCCAUCGCUGCCAAGGAGGGACACACGGAGAUCGUGCAGGACCUCCUGGACGCUGGCACCUACGUCAAUAUCCUGGACAGGAGCGGAGAGACGAUGCUGAUAGGAGCUGUGAGAGGAGGCCAUGUGGAGAUAGUUCGAGCUCUGCUGAACAAAUACGCUGAUAUUGACGUCAGAGGGCAGGAUGGGAAGACUGCCCUCUACUGGGCUGUGGAGAAAGGUAACGCCACUAUGGUGAGAGACAUCCUGCAGUGUAACCCAGACACUGAGAGCUGCACAAAGGAAGGAGAGACCCCGCUUAUCAAAGCCACCAAAAUGAGGAACAUAGAGAUCGUGGAGCUGCUGCUGGAUAAAGGAGCCAAAGUGUCCGCACUGGACAAGAAAGGAGACACACCCCUCCACAUUGCCAUCCGAGGGCGAAGCCGAAAGCUGGCCGAGCUGCUGCUGAGGAACCCCAAAGAUGGCCGCCUGCUUUACCGUCCCAACAAAGCUGGGGAGACGCCAUACAACAUUGACUGCACCCACCAGAAGAGCAUCCUCACACAGAUAUUUGGAGCCAAGCACCUCUCCCCCUCCGAGUCAGAUGGAGACAUGUUGGGAUAUGACCUGUACAGCAGUGCGCUAGCUGAUAUCCUCAGUGAGCCCACCAUGCAGCCACCUAUCUGUGUUGGACUGUACGCUCAGUGGGGCAGCGGGAAAUCUUUCCUCCUUAAGAAACUGGAGGACGAGAUGAAGACCUUUGCAGGCCAGCAGAUAGAGCCAUUGUUCCAGUUCUCCUGGCUGGUCGUCUUCCUCACUCUGCUUCUCUGUGGCUCAGUGGCUGUCGUUCUGGGCUUCACUGUCGAUCCUAUGCUUGCAAUCGCCGUCUCCCUCAGCCUCCUUGCACUGCUCUACAUCUUUUUCGUGUUGGUGUACUUUGGGAGUCGUCGUGAGAGAGAGAGCUGGAACUGGGCGUGGGUCAUCAGCACCCGUCUGGCUCGCCAGGUCGGUUAUCUGGAGCUGCUGCUCAAACUGAUGUUCGUCAAUCCUCCCGAACUUCCUGAACAGACAACCCGUGCCCUGCCUGUCAGGUUCUUGUUCACGGAUUACAACCGUCUGUCCAGUGUUGGAGGGGAGACCUCCAUGGCUGAGAUGAUUGCCACACUCUCAGACGCCUGUGAAAGGGAGUUCGGCUUCAUGGCCACGAGGCUCUUCAGGGUUUUCAAAAAAGAUGAGAUCCAAGGUAAAAAGUGGAAGAAAACAUGCUGCGUUCCCUCUUUCGUGCUGUUCGCUUUGACUCUUGGUUGCCUGAUCACCGGCAUGGCCCUGUUGGCCAUCUUUAAGGUUGACCAAGCAAACUUAACCGUGAACGCAGUGCUGAUAGCUAUGGCCAGUGUGGUGGGGCUCGCCUUACUGCUCAACUGUCGGACGUGGUGGCAAGUGGCUGACUCUGUCCUCAACUCCCAAAGAAAGCGUCUUCACAGUGCUGCUAAUAACCUGAACAAACUGAAGAGUGAAGGAUUUAUGAAGGUUCUGAAGCACGAAGUGGAGCUAAUGUCAAAGAUGGCCAAAACUAUCGACGGCUUCACCCAGAACCAGACACGAAUGGCCGUCAUCAUCGACGGACUGGACGCCUGUGAGCAGGACAAAGUGCUGCAGAUGCUGGACACGGUGAGGGUCCUCUUCUCCAAAGGCCCUUUCAUCUCCAUCUUUGCCAGUGACCCCCACAUCAUCAUUAAAGCUAUCAACCAAAACCUCAACAGUGUGCUGAGGGACUCCAACAUCAACGGACACGACUACAUGAGAAAUAUUGUUCACCUGCCAGUGUUCCUCAACAGCAGAGGCCUCAGUACAGCCAAGAAGCUCUGCAUGGUCGCCCCCUCUAAUGGAGAGACACAGCCCGCUGAGGGAUGGCAUGAAGACAUGGAAAGAAAGAUGUCUCAGGGCAACCUCGGUCAAGACCAGGCCAAGUUUGGCAGCAAGAACGCCCUAAACCGCAGGGAUACGUACCGGCGUCGACACAUGCAGAGGACCAUCACCAGACAGAUGUCCUUUGACUUGACCAAGCUGCUGGUGACGGAGGACUGGUUCAGCGACAUCAGCCCACAGACAAUGAGGAGGCUGCUCAACAUUGUUUCCAUCACAGGUCGCCUGCUGCGAGCCAAUCAGAUCAUCUUCAACUGGGACCGGCUGGCAUCGUGGAUCAACAUGACGGAAGAGUGGCCGUACAGGACAUCGUGGAUCAUCCUGUUUUUGGAGGAGUCGGAAGGAGUGUCCGACCAGAUCGCUCUGAAGACCAUCUAUGAGAGAAUCUCCAAAAACAUCCCCACCACAAAAGACAUUGAACCCCUGCUGGAGAUCGAUGGAGACGUCCGCAGCUUUGAGGUCUUCCUCUCCUCCAGGACGCCCGUCCUCACUGCCAGAGACGUGGAGAUGUUCCUGCCCUGCACCGUCAACCUGGACCCGAAACUCAGGGAGAUCAUUGCCGAUGUACGAGCGGCCAGAGAGCAGAUGCACAUGGGAGGAGUGAACUAUCCCACGCUGCCCCUUCAGGACGCAGUGCCCCGUCCACAGUCGGGUUACAACCAGCACUCUGCCAACUGCUCCCCGACCGGCUCCUUCGCCGGGUCCCUGCCUCCUCAGCCCCACAGUGCUUACUUCAGCGGGAUGACUGGCCCUCAGCACCCCUUCUACAACCGGCCCUAUUUCCCCCAUCAUGUGUAUCACCUGCCUCGGCAUUACACCCACCAUGCCCCCCCAUCCUUGCGUCCCACCAUUAAACCACCUGGUCAGCCUAAGGACAGCAGCACUGGACUUGUGUCUCCUGCAGUCCUGCUCAGCUCUUUGAACACGGACGCAGUGUGCGAGCGACUUAAACAGACGGAUGGAAUCGACCCCUCCAUGGUACCUCAGUACAACUCCACCAUCAAAAAGGCGAAUAUCAACGGUCGAGUGUUGUCUCAGUGCAAUAUUGACGAGCUGAAGAAAGAGAUGGAGAUGAACUUUGGCGACUGGCAGCUCUUCAGGGGAAUGCUGAUGGAGCAGCGUCACACUGAAAGCCAGGCUCUGCUGCAGGAUGAGUCUCGGGCUGUCAGCGAGCAGGGCAGCAGUGUGCACCACGGGGAGACCAGCAGACGCUCAGGGGGGCCCCAACACGAAUCCACGGCUUUCAGCCUCAACCUCAGCUUCGAGGAGCUCAGUGGAGCCGGGCUGGAGGAACCUCCGAGACAAAGCAACAACUCUCAUUGGCCGGUGGUGAAUCUCCGCACCUCCAGCAUGUCCAGCCUCAACUCUCAGGAAUCCUCCAAUGACAUCUGUAAGCUGACAGACAAGCAGCAGUCCGAGUAUCGGGAUGCCUACAGGGAGUACAUUGCUCAGAUGGCCCAGGUGGAGAUGUCCGGCGGUGGUGGGGAGCGGCCCGUGCAGCCUCACCCCGGACAGUUCCUGCAGGCUGCCAGCUCGGAGGACAAAGGGGCCAAGGAAGGAGCCGACCAAGACAGCCGCAAGUCCUUCACCAAGAGAGGCACCAAGCCGAGUGAUACCCCGGAUUUCCCCUCAGGGACCGACGCCCAGACCCUCGACCCCAUAAGUGAGGAGGAUGAGAAGCUGGACCACAUUGCUUCCUCCAGGACUCCAGGCUCCAGGAAGAAGGGAGCGGGGGCCUUGUACCACAAGCUGCCCAGCGAUGAAGACUCUGGUCCAGAAGAAUCUGACAACACCACACCUCUCCUCCACAGAGAGCCCGGUGCCCUGUCCGCCCACAGAGGCUCCCCGCCCACGGGGCUGCUCGCCAAGCCUGGCUUCCUCUCUGAAAUCGUCCUGGACAAGAAGGACUCAUCCGACUCAGGGAUGCGCUCCAGCGACAGCUCCCUGGAGGAGGCGGAAGGAGACAGAGAUGGAGGAGCGCAGAAGGCCAGCUCGAUUGAGCUGGAGCUGGAGGGUCUGGUGAAGAAGAGAGGCCUCCUCCCAAGCAGCCUGAGCGGCUUACAGGACUCAACGGUGGCCCGCAUGUCCAUCUGCUCCGAGGCUCCAUCUGAGGCCAGCCUAAUGGCCAGCAGCCCGGACGAAGGAUGGCCGGUCAGCAACCUCAACCGCACCGACAGCAACACCACCCUCAACAACAACAACACAAACAGCCCCGACGACACUAACACCACCAACACCAAUACCAACAACAGCCAUCAGCAGCUGGCUAACAUCACAGGAGAAUUGGCUGUGAAGUGAAGCCUCAGCAGAAUCGGACAUAACUAAGAAAUAAUAAUAAAACAACGUUGAAUGAAGAGUUGUUUCCUUAACUGCUGAAUAUUGUAUCUAAUGCAGGGACAGAAGGCGUUCUGACAGUGUUUAUUUUGACCGAUAGAUGGCGCACUCUUCUUACAAACGUGCUGCAGGCUGCUGUCACGGACACUGGCUGUCAGUAUCAGGAACUAUUGAGGAUUACAACUUUAACAGGGGGGAGUGGGAACCUGCAAGGGACCUUUUUAAGAGGCGUUUUCAGUUCACAGGCUUGAUCCAGACAGAAGUGGGCCCCUGGGAGAAAUCACCAAGCAAGACGUGAUUAGUUUACAGCAGCAUCCCCCCAAUGGGACUCUCUCUGCUCUCUGAGCAAAACCAUCGAGGCCUGGAUCUGUUGUAACAUGAGAGGCUGCAGAGGGCACACAAGCAGGCAGGAAGCUCUGGGAGCGAAGGAUGAAUGGUUGGGAGAGAUGGUUUGACCAGAUUAGACCAGGACACAAAGGCACCCUGGCUGCCCUAGUGCUUUCCGGGCUGGACAUGAAGUGGCCACUCCACACCCCCCUGAGGUCGGCCCCUGCGUGCCUCUGCUACAGCUGGAUGCCCGACACGAGACAGCAGCAGGAUUAAGGCCUGUCCGCAUCAUCCCAUAGGGCAGAGUAGUUUGAGUGACAGGCGGGUGCAGCGUCUUGACACAGGUCCGUGCCCCCGUCAUCAUCGCUGAUCGUCCCAUGCUGGCCCUCAGAGUGACAGGCGCCUGCAGAGCCAUUUACUCCCGAUGCGGACAGAAAAAAAGCCCUCCUCGAUCACAAGCUUUCACCGGCAUUUCAGACACACACCCCACCCCCCUCUACCUCUUAGUCAUAACUUUUUCUCCUUUGUUACCUAAUUAAAAUCCAAUUUUUCAUUUCCUUUAAAAAUAUUUGUUAUUAUUUCACCCCUCUCCACCUUUCUGAUCCUCCUCUUGACCUUACCUAAUCCUCCUUUCUCUCCUCUGAUAUCACCUCCCUUGUAUUGAGCUCAUGUUACUAUUAAUCCAAAGGAAUCUGCCAGAUCUUAAUUAGGGUAAUUACUGUGUUGUUUUAAGUUAACACUGAUGACUCCACUCAAGCUACUAUCUUUGAGCCGCCCAUAACAGAUGGGGUGCUUCGUUCUCUUUUGGGAAAGCAGACAGGAGUCACGAUCGAGCGGUAUGAUUUUUAAACUUGAUGUUUUUUGUAGCUCCGUUUACCUUUGAAAAACUGUUCAGCAGGAGUUUUUUUUUCAUAAACCUUUCAGCAUAGCAGGUGAAGCCUCUUAAAGCAAAAGCAGAAAGCUAAAAAUGAAAGAGAAAAUGCGUUUUGCACUGGUUCGUGACCAAAAUGAAGUGUCAUAUUUGUUUUGAUUGAUGUGGUGUGACUGUGAAGAGGCCCCCUUUGGCCAAAAAAGCUUUACUCACUGCCCUCAAACAUAACAUAACCCAUAGCCUAAAGCUGGACAGUAAUGUUGCAGUGUGUUUUCACAUGUCUGGAGUGGGCUUCAUCUGUCUGUUUUUAUGUUGUGUUUGUUAACCUCUUGUUCAAAGGAAUAUUUCCCAAACUAAGGCUCAGGAAGGACUACAGAAUGUGGUUAUUGGAGGUUUAGGUGAGUAAAAGUACAACAAUAAGUGAGGGAUACUUGGCAUGCAGGCUAAAGUCAUCAGAUAAUUUGGAAAAUUAACAAAUUAGCGAAGCCAAAUACAUUUCUUUUCCUGUCAAAUGUAAACAUCACUCAACCUCUCACAUUAGUCCAGCAACCUAUUAUGAGAUGUGCAAGUUGUAGACUGUAAAACAUCAGUGACAUCACCUACUAGCUACAGAAGAGGUGUUAUGAAGCCCAAAAUGGCGUCAAAAUUCUAACUCGAAUUAGCAUUAGACUAAGCUAAAACCCAGGGAAGAGGUGGAGUUCAGGACGUAGCCAUGCUGACUGAUACCAGCUACAACAUGCCGUCCUGUUCGUCAAAUCCGGCACACCCCAAUUUAGAAAGUUGAUGGAUAGCUCUUAACCUUGAUAUAUCAAAUUGGAUUAGUUGUUAAAACCUUUUAUAAUUUUUUAUGAAUCAAAAAUGAGGAAUCAAUUCCCAAACCUUUUUUGUACCAGGCCAUGUUCAGUUCUGUAUUUCAGGCUCUAACAGUGUCCUUGACUUUGCAGCCAGCCUCAAGUGGACUCUUGAAGAACUGCAUCUUUUCCACAUUGCCUAAAUGUCCAUGACAGAAAGUUGCUGCAUAGUGCCAUCCCAUGUUUAGGGACUUUAUAACUUUGUUGUCAAAGAGUCUAGAGUGACUAAUCUAAAGUUUGGAAACUCCCAGACUACAGUAAUGUGUAUUUUAAGAAUGAGGAAACACACAGA